AUCACUUUUUAUUCUGUUUUUACUUCAGGACUGUCAUGGUUUUAUGCUUUUUGUUUUUUCAGGUUUCAGUAUUCAGUAUUCCACAUCAAAACAUCAUGUAGUGUAUGGGGCAUUAAAGUGUCACUGCCCCAAUUCCAGUACCUAUCCCUGUACAUUACAGCAGUCACGGGAUCUGGCCCUUCCGGGUGGGGGGGCGCUCUCUUGCUGCCUGGCAGUGGGUGCUGGAGGUGCUUUCCUAGCCGUUCCAAGCUUUUCAGGUUUGAAUCGGUCCCGGGAACUCUCUCUCUCAUCUUGUCUGAUUUAUUCAUCUCAAUUUCAAUUAAAUUGUAUAUAUUGUGUUAUCUUGUAUUCCAAUAUUAUAGUAAAAUAAGUUUUCCUCCA